AUAAGAUAUCAAGGGCAACAGGUGAAUGCCUUGGCGCUGAGAGGCGAUGAAAGACGCGGUAAGCUGCGAUAAGCAUCGGGGAGGAGCUAAACAUCCUACGAUCCGAUGAUUUCUGAAUGGGGAAACCCGAUGGGAGUCAUGUCCCGUCAUCCUGAGCUGAAUAUAUAGGCCCAGAGAAGCCAACCCGGGGAAGUGAAACAUCUCAGUACCCGGAGGAAGAGAAAUCAAACGAGACUCCCAAAGUAGCGGCGAGCGAAAUGGGAAGAGCCCAAACCGGGUGGUUUCGACCAUUCGGGGUUGUAGGGCCGGCAUACGCGAUUCUGGAGUAGGCAGAGGAAGUGAGCUGGAAAGCUCCGCCACAGCGGGUGAUAGCCCCGUACUCGAAACCGAAAAGGACGCAGCCGGUACCUGAGUACUGCGAGGCACGUGGAACCUCGUGGGAAUCUAGGGGGACCAUCCUCUAAGGCUAAGUACUCCUCAGCGACCGAUAGUGAACUAGUACCGUGAGGGAAAGGUGAAAAGAACCCCUGUUAGGGGAGUGAAAUAGAAUCUGAAACCUGUUGCCUACAAGCUGCGAGAGCUGCUUUUUGCAGUGAUCGCGUGCCUUUUGUAUAAUGAGUCAGCGAGUUACUCUACCGUGCGAGGUUAAGCGAAAGCGUAGCCGUAGUGAAAGCGAGGCUUAAUAGGCCGACUAGUACGUUGGAGUAGACCCGAAACCGGGUGAUCUAUCCAUGAGCAGGUUGAAGCAAGGGUAAAGCCUUGUGGAGGACCGAACCGUCAACGGCUGAAAACGUUCCGGAUGACUUGUGGAUAGGGGUGAAAGGUCAAUCAAACCCGGUGAUAGCUGGUUCUCCCCGAAAUAUAUUGAGGUAUAGCCUCGGGAAUUGAUUAGCGGAGGUAAAGCACUGACAGAGCUAGGGGUCCUACCAGAUUACCAAACUCUAUCAAACUCAGAAUGCCGCUUAAUUGUAUCCCGGGAGUCAGACGGCGGGUGCGAAGGUUCGUCGUCAAAAGGGAAACAGCCCAGACCAACAGCUAAGGUCUCCAAAUCCAUGCUCAGUGGUGAAGGUAGUGGAACCGUUUAGACAGCCAGGACGUUGGCUUAGAAGCAGCCAUCGUUUAAAGAAAGCGUAAUAGCUCACUGGUCUAAUGGCUCUGCGCCGAAAAUGUAACGGGGCUAAGCAUGGUACCGAAGCUUUGGCAAUCCCCUUUGGGGAUUGGGUAGGGGAGCGUUCGCUGCGGGCUGAAGGUGUGCCGGAAGGCAUGCUGGACUGCAGUGAAGUGAUUAUGCUGACAUGAGUAACGAUAAAAUAUGUGAAAAACAUAUUCGCCGAAAACCCGAGGUUUCCUGGGUAAAGGUAAUCUUCCCAGGGUUAGUCGGAUCCUAAGGUGAGGGUGAAAGCCGUAACCGAUGGAAAACAGGUUAAUAUUCCUGUACUUGUUGUGUAGCGCGAUGGAGGGACGCAGGAAGAUAGGCGGGCCGGGUGUUGGAUAUCCCGGUGCAAGCGUGUAGGAAUAUCCGGUAGGCAAAUCCGCCGGACGAAUCUGAGACGCGAGUCCGUGGGCGCAAGCCCUGAAGCCGUUGAGUCUAUGCUGCCUAGAAAAGCUCCUAAGUUUAUCCACAGCAAUCCGUACCGCAAACCAACUCAGGUGGGUGGGAUGAACAAUCCAAGGCGCUCGAGAGAACUCUGGCCAAGGAACUCGGCAAAAUAACCCCGUAACUUCGGAAGAAGGGGUGCUCUCUAGGGUGACAUGUUUAACAUAUGAAGCCCCGGGGAGCCGCAGUGAAUUGGUGGUGGCGACUGUUUACUAAAAACAUAGGUCUGUGCGAAGUCCUAAAGACGACGUAUACGGACUGACGCCUGCCCGGUGCUGGAAGGUUAAAAGGAGGGGUCAGCGCAAGCAAAGCUCCGAAUUGAAGCCCCAGUAAACGGCGGCCGUAACUAUAACGGUCCUAAGGUAGCGAAAUUCCUUGUCGGGUAAGUUCCGACCUGCACGAAUGGCGUAACGAUCUCCACACUGUCUCGGCCAGAGACUCGGUGAAAUUGCAGUCGCGGUGAAAAUUCCGUGUACCCGCAGAAAGACGGAAAGACCCUGUGCACCUUUACUAUAGCUUGACAUUGGAUUUUGGGCCUGCAUGUGUAGGAUAGGUGGGAGGCUGUGAACCCUGUACGCCAGUAUGGGGGGAGCCAUCCUUGAAAUACCACCCUUGCAUGUUUAAGAUCCUAACUUCUUCCGGUUAUCCCGGAGAAAGACAGUGUCUGGCGGGUAGUUUGACUGGGGCGGUCGCCUCCUAAAGUGUAACGGAGGCAUGCAAAGGUUCCCUCAGCCUGAUCGGAAACCAGGCGCUGAGUGCAAACGCAUAAGGGAGCUUGACUGUAAGAGAGACAUCUCGAACAGGAACGAAAGUUGGCGUUAGUGAUCCGGUGGUCCCGAAUGGAAGGGCCAUCGCUCAUUGGAUAAAAGGUACGCCGGGGAUAACAGGCUGAUCGCAUCCAAGAGUUCACAUCGACGAUGCGGUUUGGCACCUCGAUGUCGGCUCAUCACAUCCUGGGGCUGAAGCAGGUCCCAAGGGUACGGCUGUUCGCCGUUUAAAGUGGUACGCGAGCUGGGUUUAAAACGUCGUGAGACAGUUUGGUCCCUAUCUUCUGUGGGCGAAGGAGAAUUGAGAGGGCCUGUCCCUAGUACGAGAGGACCGGGAUGGACGCACCCCUGGUGAUCCUGUUGUCGCGCCAGCGGCAUAGCAGGGUAGCUAUGUGCGGAAGGGAUAACCGCUGAAAGCAUCUAAGCGGGAAGCCUGCUCCAAGAUAAGCAUUCCGUGGAACCUUCGAGUUCCUGUAGUCCCCAUGCAGAACACGUGGUCGAUAGGCCGGACGUGGAAGCCCCGCGAGGGGUGGAGCCGACCGGUACUAACGGACGAAAGGCAACACUAA
rnacentral:rRNA from 1 species